rnacentral:rRNA from 1 species
GAUGAACGCUGGCGGCGUGCCUAAUACAUGCAAGUAGAACGCUGAAGGAAGGAGCUUGCUCUUUCCGGAUGAGUUGCGAACGGGUGAGUAACGCGUAGGUAACCUGCCUGGUAGCGGGGGAUAACUAUUGGAAACGAUAGCUAAUACCGCAUAACAGUAGAUGUUGCAUGAUAUCUACUUAAAAGGUGCAAUUGCACCACUACCAGAUGGACCUGCGUUGUAUUAGCUAGUUGGUGAGGUAACGGCUCACCAAGGCGACGAUACAUAGCCGACCUGAGAGGGUGAUCGGCCACACUGGGACUGAGACACGGCCCAGACUCCUACGGGAGGCAGCAGUAGGGAAUCGUCGGCAAUGGGCGGAAGUCUGACCGAGCAACGCCGCGUGAGUGAAGAAGGUUUUCGGAUCGUAAAGCUCUGUUGUAAGAGAAGAACGAGUGUGAGAGUGGAAAGUUCACACUGUGACGGUAUCUUACCAGAAAGGGACGGCUAACUACGUG